GACGAACGCUGGCGGCGUGCCUAAUACAUGCAAGUUGAGCGCUGAAGGUUGGUACUUGUACCAACUGGAUGAGCAGCGAACGGGUGAGUAACGCAUGGGGAAUCUGCCUUUGAGCGGGGGACAACAUUUGGAAACGAAUGCUAAUACCGCAUAAAAACUUUAAACACAAGUUUUAAGUUUGAAAGAUGCAAUUGCAUCACUCAAAGAUGAUCCCGCGUUGUAUUAGCUAGUUGGUGAGGUAAAGGCUCACCAAGGCGAUGAUACAUAGCCGACCUGAGAGGGUGAUCGGCCACAUUGGGACUGAGACACGGCCCAAACUCCUACGGGAGGCAGCAGUAGGGAAUCUUCGGCAAUGGACGAAAGUCUGACCGAGCAACGCCGCGUGAGUGAAGAAGGUUUUCGGAUCGUAAAACUCUGUUGGUAGAGAAGAACGUUGGUGGGAGUGGAAAGCUCAUCAAGUGACGGUAACUACCCAGAAAGGGACGGCUAACUACGU
rnacentral:rRNA from 1 species